UAAUCCUACGGGGGGCAGCAGUGAGGAAUAUUGGUCAAUGGGCGGGAGCCUGAACCAGCCAAGUCGCGUGAGGGACGACGGUCCUAUGGAUUGUAAACCUCUUUUGUCGGGGAACAAAGGCGCCCACGGGUGGGCGGAUGAGUGUACCCGAAGAAAAAGCAUCGGCUAACUCCGUGCCAGCAGCCGCGGUAAUACGGAGGAUGCGAGCGUUAUCCGGAUUUACUGGGCGUAAAGGGAGCGUAGGCGGACUUUUAAGUGAGAUGAGAAAUACUCGGGCUCA
rnacentral:rRNA from 1 species